CUGCAACUGGUGCUCAUGGACCAGAUGAAAGUCCGGCUUUUGAGAAAGCAAGGAAAUGCAUAGAAUCAAUUCUCGCCUUUUGUGAAUCAACUCCUGAUAUGUGCAUGAGCAUUGGAUAAGAAAAAAAAGCAGGCAAUGCUAAAGAAUGGAUCUAAGAGAAUAAAG